rnacentral:lncRNA from 1 species
AAAGUCGUGGAUCUCCUGAUGGCGGCUAGCUGCUUUCUGCUCUCCUUAUUAGUUUAGUGCCAACUCCGCUAGGUAUAGGUAGGGAGUCUUCUACAAGUCGCAUUACUGGUCGAUGACCCGAUUUUGGAAGCAGUCGAGAUGCCUUUGCUGGGGGAACCCUUCCUUGCAUUCUUUUAUUGUAUUCGCUUCAAUCGCCCAUGAUUGAGACAAAGGUAGAUGAGAAGAAAUUCUUUUUCUUUCAUAGUCUGCUAAUUUUCUUCUUCUUGCAUCUCGUCGAUACGAUAGGUUGAUUUACCUUACUAGUCAUAUGCCCUAAAGGUUUACUGUCUGGAUGGUACUUUUCAACAGAUAAGCGAAUCGCGCUCAAGUGGUGGUUGACGAAAUAUCUAAUCCUCCUUUUCCCUGUCUGGUGUGGCCUUAGAUUCCGCUGUCCCUUUCCGCUUCACGCAAUAGCACGCUCCGAAGCAGGCUUCGCCGG